GAUGAACGCUGGCGGUACGUCUGACACAUGCAAGUCGAACGGUAAGCCACCUUCGGGUGGCCUAGAGUGGCGAACGGCUGAGUAACACGUAGGAACCUACCCCUCAGUUCGGGAUAACGGGACGAAAGCCCCGCUAAUACCGGAUAAUAUCGAAAGAUUGAAAGGUUUAUCUGCUGAGGGAGGGGCCUGCGGGCUAUUAGCUUGAUGGUGGGGUAACGGCUCACCAUGGCGAUGAUGGCUAGCUGGUCUGAGAGGAUGAUCAGCCAGACUGGGACUGAGACACGGCCCAGACUCCUACGGGAGGCAGCAGUUCAGAAUCUUGCACAAUGGGCGAAAGCCUGAUGCAGCGAUACCG
rnacentral:rRNA from 1 species